UGCCAGCCGCCGCGGUAAUACGGAGGGUCCAAGCGUUAUCCGGAAUCAUUGGGUUUAAAGGGUCCGUAGGCGGGCGAUUAAGUCAGAGGUGAAAUCCCACAGCUCAACUGUGGAACUGCCUUUGAUACUGGUUGUCUUGAGUUACAGUGAAGUAGAUAGAAUAUGUAGUGUAGCGGUGAAAUGCAUAGAUAUUACAUAGAAUACCGAUUGCGAAGGCAGUCUACUAACUGUUAACUGACGCUAAGGGACGAAAGCGUGGGGAGCGAACAGGAUUAGAUA
rnacentral:rRNA from 1 species